rnacentral:rRNA from 1 species
AGUCAAUAGAUACCCGGGUAGUCCAUGCCGUAAACGAUGAUUGCUAGGUGUGGGGGGUCUGACCCCUUCCGUGCCGGAGUUAAACACAAAUAAGCAAUCCACCUGGGGAGUACGGCCGCAAGGUUGAAACUCAAAGGAAUUGACGGGGGCCCGCACAAGCAGUGGAGUAUGUGGUUUAAUUCGAAGCAACGCGAAGAACCUUACCAGGUCUUGACAUCCACCGAAUCCUGUAGAGAUACGGGAGUGCCCUUCGGGGAACGGUGAGACAGGUGGUGCAUGGUUGUCGUCAGCUCGUGUCGUGAGAUGUUGGGUUAAGUCCCGCAACGAGCGCAACCCUUGUGAAUAGUUGCUACGAAAGAGCACUCUAUUCAGACCGCCGUUGACAAAACGGAGGAAGGUGGGGAUGACGUCAAAUCAUCAUGCCCCUUAUGACCUGGGCUACACACGUACUACAAUGGCCGUUAACAGAGGGAUGCAAUGCCGCGAGGUGGAGCGAACCCCUAAAAACGGUCUCAGUUCAGAUUGCAGGCUGAAACUCG